AGUGAACGCUGGCGGCGUGCUUAACACAUGCAAGUCGAACGAGAACGGAAUAUAGCUUGCUAUAUUUGUCAGCUAAGUGGCGCACGGGUGAGUAAUGUAUAGAUAACCUGCCCUUAAGAAAGGAAUAACAGUUGGAAACGACUGCUAAUGCCCUAUAUGCCUUUAAUACAUAAGUAUGCAAGGGAAACGCUUUAGUGCUUAAGGAUGGGUCUGUAUGGUAUCAGCUUGUUGGUGAGGUAAUGGCUCACCAAGGCUAUGACGCCUAACUGGUUUGGGAGGAGGAUCAGUCACACUGGAACUGUGACCCGGUCCAGACUCCUACAUGAGGCAGCAGUGGGGAAUAUUGCACAAUGGACGAAAGUCUGAUGCAGCAACGCCGCGUGGAGGAUGACACAUUUCGGUGCGUAAACUCCUUUUAUAUAGGAAGAUAAUGACGGUACUAUAUGAAUAAGCACCGGCUAACUCCGUGCCAGCCGCCGCGGUAA
rnacentral:rRNA from 1 species